UCCUCCCUCUGUCGGCGUGCUUAACACAUGCAAGUCGAACGGAAAGGCCCUGCUUUUGUGGGGUGCUCGAGUGGCGAACGGGUGAGUAACACGUGAGUAACCUGCCCUUGACUUUGGGAUAACUUCAGGAAACUGGGGCUAAUACCGGAUAGGAGCUCCUGCUGCAUGGUGGGGGUUGGAAAGUUUCGGCGGUUGAGGAUGGACUCGCGGCUUAUCAGCUUGUUGGUGGGGUAGUGGCUUACCAAGGCUUUGACGGGUAGCCGGCCUGAGAGGGUGACCGGCCACAUUGGGACUGAGAUACGGCCCAGACUCCUACGGGAGGCAGCAGUGGGGAAUAUUGCACAAUGGGCGGAAGCCUGAUGCAGCAACGCCGCGUGCGGGAUGACGGCCUUCGGGUUGUAAACCGCUUUCGCCUGUGACGAAGCGUGAGUGACGGUAAUGGGUAAAGAAGCACCGGCUAACUACGUG
rnacentral:rRNA from 1 species